rnacentral:lncRNA from 1 species
AGUUCGCCAGGCAGGAAGUGCAGUAGCAGGACUCUGGCUUUCCGGAGAGUCUCUGUUUUUCCUUUUUUUUUUUCCCUUUUCGCCCAAUAAAUACCAUUUUUCUCACCCUUCAAAGUGUCUGCAAGCCUAAUAUUUCAUGGAUGUUUGACAAGGACCCCGUCUUUAGCUGAACUAAGGAGAAAGUCCUGCAACACACACAUGGAGCUCAGCAAACGGAGGAUGUAACGCACAUGAAAUUUGGUGCUGUGACUCGGAUUGGGGGACCUCCCUUGGGAGAUCAAUCCCCUGUCCUCCUGUUCUUUGCUCCAUGGGAAAGAUCCACCUACGACCUCAGGUCCUCAGACCGACCAGCCCAAGGAACAUCUCACCAAUUUUAAAUCGGGACCCCACUGGAAAUCGGACUGUUCAACUCACCUGGCAGCCACUCACAGAGCCCGUGGAACUCUGGCCCAAGGCUCUCUGACUCCUUCUCGGCUUAGCGGCUAAAGACUGACACUGCCCGAUCGCCUCGGAAGCCCCGUAGACCAUCACGGACGCCGAGCUUUAGAUGAAGAAACUGAGGUCCAGAGAAGUUAAACGACCUUCCUAAGAUUACACAGCUUAGUAAGUGGCAGAACCACAGCUGGAAGCCAGGUCCUUCCUCACGCAAGUCCUGGCUCAUUCAUUCCUCUUCCAAAGACUUGCUGAGCACCUUCUAGGUGCCAGAUGCGGUGCUGGCUCCUGGGGACAUGGGAGUGAACAGGCCAGGCGUGGCCCUGAACCAUCAAAUAGACAACCACAGAAAUAACAACAACAAAGACAAAACCGGGCCCUUCCACACAGUAGCUGGAACACAAAGGAAGAUCAGCCAAGCCUCAACAUAAUCUCAUAAAAAUUCUUCAAAUAUCCCAUUGUUAUGGAUUCAUACAUCAGGAAAGCAGAUGCCAAGAACCUGAACACCUUCUACUGGUAACAUAUAUUUUGGCGAGCCAGCCUGGAGACAAGACCACUAUGGGCAACUUCCUGUCUAUUCUACCUGGUGUCACUGUGGACAACUUCCUAUCUAUUCCACCCGAUUCACCGCUUGGCUACAUCCUCCACCAUUGGGAUGAAUUUGACCCUAACAAUCUAAAGAAAAGGCAUAUGAUUUUUUACUGCAAUAUUGUUUGACACAAUUAUGAGCUGCCCAAUCCGGAACAAUGGGCAGUCAAUGGUAGCCUUAAUUAUGAUACCAUCCUGUAUCUAGACCUAUUUUACAAGAGGCAGGGCAAAUGGUCAGAAGUCCCACAUAUACAGGCCUACAUGACCCUAUACGAAGACCUAAGAAUCUAGGAAACUCCCAGAACCCAUCCCCCGAAGGAAAGUUCUGGGGCAGAACUAGAUAUUAUAGAUGAACCCCCUUUUACAAGGGAUACCUGUCUCUCAGAGUGAGCAGUGACUGUCCCCAUAUAACCCCUCACCAAGUGCUCCUGAGGCUGAAACCCAGGGGCAAACAUGGGGAACCCUACUAAGUCCCCCUCACACUUGGAGGGGAACACUGUAUUCAACUCUCUAUCCAGCCCUGCUACUCUCAGAGAAAUAGCAGGGGCUGAGGGGCCAAUCCUAGUGUGGGUCCCCUUCUCUAUGAUUGAUAUACAACAAUGUAAGGAAAAGCUAGGAAGCUAUUCUGAGGAUUCCGGGAAGUUUGCAGAUGGGUUCCAAACUUUGACCUUAGCCUUUGAUCUCUCAUGGAGAGACGUUCAAUUCACUCUAGCAACCUGUUGCACCUCCUCGGAAAAGGAACGAAUCUUUGAGGCUGCCCUCCGAGAAGUGGACGAAUUAUUCACCCAAAACCGUAAAGGCAGUCACCCAGGCCCAGCCACAGUUCCCACUACGCAUCCUAAUUGAGACCAAGACACCCCCGCAGGAAGGAACAACUGGGCUAAAUUUCUUGAGGCUCUUGGAGGAAUGAGAAAGGGAAUAACUAAGGCAGUAAAUUAUGAUAAAGUAAGGCAGAUUACACAAGGCAGGGAGGAAAACCCAGCUGUGUUUUACGGCAGGCUGCGGGAAGCCUUUAAAAAAUAUAUACUAAUUUGGUCCCUUCCUCUCCUGAAGGCAAGUUAUUAAUGGCACAACGUUUCAUUAGCCAAUCCACACCAGACAUUAGACGUAAGCUCCAAAAGCUACACAUGGGGCCACAAACUAACCAAAAUCAGCUUCUUGGUACUGCCUUCAUGGUGUAUAACAAUCGUGACCUGGAGGAAGGAGAAGGGAAACAGAGUAAAGAAAAACGGCAAGCCAAAAUUAUGUUAGCCAUCACUGGUGAUGCCCUAAAUGCACAAAGAUUGUCCAAGGGAAACUCAAAGGGCCAUAAGGAUAAUGCCAGCAAAGGCUCUUGCUUCAAAUGCAAUAAAAGUGCGAUUGGGCACAGGAAUCCACUAAGCCCCCGCCAGUCCCCUGCCGUCAAUGUAAAAGCACCAGUUGUGGCUCCUGGCCCUGGAGAAUUGACUGUCCCUGCUCCCACCAAGGGGCUCAGUCAGUCAAAACUCUGGCAGUGCACAAGGAGGAAUCAGAUGAAGACUGAAGGGGCCUGGGGCCUUCCUCACUGCCCCGUCUAGGAACAUUGUAAUUACUACUGAGGAACCCUGGGUAACUCUGGACAUCAUGGCCACCCAAAUUCAGUUUUUAUGUGAUACCAAGGUGAAUUAUUCUGUACAACUGCUUAUGCAGGAAAACUUUCCUCCCGGUCCAUGAGUGAUAUUGGAUGGAAGGGAAGCCACAAACAAGAUUCUUACUCCUCCUUUGGUUUGUCAAUUUGAGAAACAAAUCUUCCAACAGGAAUUUUUAGUAGUACCAAGCUGCCCAAUUCCCCUGUGGGAAAGAGAUAUUAUGGUGAAAAUAGUGACACUACUGCAAUUUAAGCAAUAUUAGCAGGUGAAACUGCUAAUAGUAAGAAAUAAGGCAAUGUCCCAGACCAUGUCAAUAAACAGGUUAACCCACUGGCAUGGUAUACUGGAAACCCAGGGAAGGCUAAAACAGCAGUGCCAGUCAAAAUACAGCUUAAAGACCCCAGCCAUUUUCCCAAUGGAAAACAAUACCCAGUUGAACAGGAAGCAAGCAAAGGUCUAGCUCCCAUAGUUGAGAUAUUACUUACCCAUGGACUCUUAAAACCCUGCAAUUCUCCCUGCAAUACCCCCAUCUUACCUGUUCUCAAGCCUGGGGGGAAUACCAGCUAGUACAGAACCUCAGAAUAAUGAAUGAGGCUGUUAUCCCCGUCCACCCAUUGGUGGCAGAUCCAUAUGCCCUCCUGGCUCAGGUGCCAGGGCAUGCAAAAUGGUUCUCAGUCCUAGACCUUUCUUCUCCAUUCCUCUGGCCCCGAGCCCCCCAGUACCUUUUUGCUUUCGAAUGGGAAAAUCCUAAUACCAGAUAAAAACAAUACACUUGGACAGUGCUUCCUCAGGGCUUUCGGGAUAGCCCCCACUUCUUUGCCUGAGCAUUAGAGCGGGAUCUGAGGGAUUUCAAGUUAGAAAAUGGAGGUAUUCUUCAGUAUGGGGAUGACCUUGUGUGUAGCCCAACCUAGGAGGUUUCUGACCAAAAUACUAUAAAAACUUUGAAUUUCCUGGCAGACAGAGGAUACAAAGUGUCCAAAAAGAAGGCUCAGAUUACCCUCCAAUGGGUCCACUAUUUAGGAUAUGUCUUAACACCCGGAACCCGGCAAAUAUCCCCAGAAGGAGUGCAAGCUAUAUGUGGUUUGGCCGCGUGCACCACCCCCAGCCCCCACCCUGACCCACCUCCAAGCAGCAGCUUUGUUCCUUUUUGGGGAUGGCCGGGCUUUGGAGAAUAUGAGUACCAAAUUUUGGGCUCAUAGCAAAGCCCCUAUAUGAAGCAACAAGGGGGCCUGAAAAUGAGCUAAUGGAAUGGACCCCGGAAAUGAGGAAAGCCUUUGCCAAGUUAAAACAGGUUCUCACCCAGGCUCCUGCUCUUGGUAUCCCAGACCUAAUUAAGGCCUUCUCCUUGUAUGUAGCAGAGAAGAGGGGCAUAGCUGUGGGAGUGCUAGCCCAGAAAUUAGGAUCAGAACCCAGACCAACCGCCUACUUCUCAAAAAAGUUGGACGGAGUGGCCUCAGGAUGGCCAAGUUGCCUGCGGGCAAUAGCAGCCACUGCUGUUAGUGGAGGAAGCCACUAAAAUCACCCUAGGGCAACCACUGGAAGUUCUAACGCUCCAUCAGGUAAAGUUAGUCUUAGAAAUAAAGGGACACAUCUGGAUGACAGGGGAAAUGUUAACUAAAUACCAGCCCAUGCUCCUAGACAAUCCAGAUAUAACUCUUAAAACCUGCAACACUUUAAAUCCAGCUUCAUUGCUGCCCACAGGCCCAAUAAUUGAUCAUUCCUGUGAGCAGGUCAUUGCACAUACAUAUGUUAGCCAGCCUGAUUUAAAAGAUGAGGCUCUCCCAGAUUCUGAAGCUGACCGGCUCACAGACGGCAGUAGUUCUUUGUCGAAUGGGGAGCACAGAGCUGGAUAUGCAGCAGUAAAUCAUGACACAAUUAUUGAAGCCCAGCCAGUGCCCCCUGGCACAUCAGCACAAAAGGCUAAAAUCAUUGAUCUUACUCAAGCAUUAAUGUUGGGACAAGGGAAAAAACUUAACAUCUAUACAGAUUCUAAAUAUGCAUUCCUUGUGGUUCAUGCUCAUACCGCCAUCAGGAAAGAAAGGGGAUUACUUACUAGCAAGCACUCCCCUAUAGAGCAUGGACCUGAAAUUCUGCAGCUAUUGAAGGCAAUACACCUGCCAAAGGCCAUAGCUAUCAUUCAUUGUAGGGGGCAUCAAAGGGACUUAACCCCUAUAGCACAAGGGAAUGGAAAGGCUGACGGAAGCCAAAGCAAAAGCCCUCAGCGUGCAAUCCCAACAGAUCCUAGCACUGCUUCCUUUCUACAAUUCCCCAGUAGAACCCAAAUACACACCACAGGAAGAACAGCUAAUAAAAAAAGCAAGGGAGACAAAAACAAGGAUCCUGGUGGCAUAUGGAGCCAAAAAUAUAUCUCCCUCAGGCAGCCCAGUGGAGAGUUAUAAAAGCCCUGCAUGACUCUUUCCAUGUGGGGAGGGAUGCGGCUCUGGCCAUGGUAAACAAGUUCUUUACUGGGUUUAACUCAGCUUCAAUGGCUAAGCAGGUCUGUCAAGCCUGCUCACUGUGUGCAUUUAACAAUCCAGGCAUCAAAAUGCCCCCUCUAAUAAAACCAGUCCAAAGGAGGGGAACUUAUCCAGGGGAAGACUGGCAGUUAGACGUCAUCCAUAUGCCAGCUUGCAGAGGAUACAAGCUUUUGUUAAUACUAAUAGAUACUUUUAGGUUGGGUCAAAGGUUACCCCAGAAAAGGCUAAUGAGGUUCUAAGGUCCUCUUAAAAGAAAUAAUUCCCCAGUUUGGGUUACCUCAGGGUCUCCAAAGUGAUAAUGGCUAAUCCUUUAUCUCCCAAAUAACUCAAGGGGUUGCUAAGGCUCUUGGAAUAAAAUACUAUUUACAUUCAGCCUGGAGGCCCCAAUCCUCUGGAAAAGUGGAAAGGGUUAACCAAACUCUAAAAUAAGCACUAGCUAAACUAUGUCAGGAAACAUCAGAAACUUGGGUUAGCUUAUUGCUCACAGCCCUUUUAAGAAUUUGUAAUACCCCUAGCUCAAAAAUUAACAGAAGCCCAUAUAAAAUGUUAUACAGAAGGCCAUUCUUAACUAAUGAUUUAAUUAUUGACCCAGAAAGAGUUGGUGUAAUUAAAUACCUAGUCAACCCAGAACAAUUCCAGCGGGUUUACAAGAGUUUGGAAUUCAAAGGCUCCUCACACUUGGAACUAACCAGCAACCCAAAAUCAGGCCAGGAGAUAGGGUACUUGUUAAAACAUGGAAUGAGGGAUCACCUGCCCAACAAUUACAACCCCAAUAGAAGGGACUUUUUUCAGUAAUACUGGCCACGUCUUCUGUGGUCAAAGUACUAGUAUUAGAUAGCUGGAUACAUCUUUCAAGGAUCAAACCAUCAAUACCAGAAGCUCCAGACCAGGAACCUGAAGUUCCCAUCAGCCAGUACACCUGUGAACCAGUGGAGGACCUGAAGUACCUGUUUAAAAGAUAGCCAAAAGAUAAGUAAAUGCCUACCAACUUUCUUUGGUGUCUUUGUUGCAUAGUUACUGUGGGCUGGAAAAUAGUAGCCAUUUUUAUCUUUGCAGUUUAAUUGCCUUCUUCCAAAUAGAUAAAAAUCACUUCCUUUGUAAUAAUUAAACAGAAUUUAAAAAAUACAUUUCUAUGACAAAUAUUCCUGAUGGCAUAAGUAUCCACCCCAAGGUUCCCAUUAAAUCUUUUAACCUAAAGUAUUUCCUCUCACCUAGAGAUCAUCGAGCUGUGUGACAAGGGUGCCAGCCACUCCAGGUGAAGACACCACCCCAGGCCAUCAAGGAUCUUCCCUACCUUCACUAAACAGAGCAGGGUGAAAGUUGUGUGAUCCCCAAUAGGUAGGGACUACACCCCAAGUCAGCAGGAAGCAGUUACAGAAGAAAGACCAUUGGUCCCUCUGCUUCCCAUAAAGAUUUAUGGGGAUCACAGCUUUCACGGGGGAGAUGAGGCAAGAGAAUAGGGCAUGCAGGCAGGGUACUUGAGGCCAAUCCACGCUGACUUCCUAGAACUGAAUUAAAUGAAAGCUCCUCAGCAAUGACAGGAAUGUGAAUGGCUUUGUAACUUCUUCCUCUCCAUUAAUGCUAUUUCCACUUUGUAACUUCACUUUCAUCCUCUCCAUUUACAUAGAUCACACACCAAGUAACAUCCUCUCCAUUUACAGUAGGGCGCAUUCCGAGUCAAUGACUCUGACUGCACUUCGUUCUCCUCAUUUACAUAGAACAUUCGCCAAGUAACCAAUGGGAAACCUCUAGAGUAUUGAAACUCCAGAAAAUUCCGUAAGUGGGGCUCUUGAGCGUCUACACUCGGGUCGCUCCCACACUGUGGCGUGUACUUUUAUUCUCAAUAAAUUCCCGCUUUUGCUUUCCUCGUUC